AUUGAACGCUGGCGGCAGGCCUAACACAUGCAAGUCGAGCGAGCGGCGGACGCGUGAGUAAUGCCUGGGAAUUGCCCAGUCGAGGGGAAUAACAGUUCGAAACGACUGCUAAUACCGCAUACGAUUUGAUUGCCCAGGUGGGAUUAGCUCGUUGGUGAGGUAAUGGCUCACCAAGGCGACGAUGCCUAGCUGGUCUGAGAGGAUGAGCGGCCACACUGGAACUGAGACACGGCACAGACUCCUACGGGAGGAAGCAGUGGGGAAUAUUGCACAAUGGGGGAAACCCUGAUGCAGCCAUGCCGCGUGUGUGAAGAAGGCUUUCGGGUUGUAAAGCACUUUCAGCGAGGAGGCGUUACUCGCAGAAGAAGCACCGGCUAACUCCGUGCCAGCAGCCGCGGUAAUUC
rnacentral:rRNA from 1 species